UACAGAGGAUGCAAGCGUUAUCCGGAAUGAUUGGGCGUAAAGCGUCUGUAGGUGGCUUUUAAGUCCGCCGUCAAUCCCAGGCUCAACUCUGGACAGGCGGUGGAAACUACCAAGCUGGAGUACGGUAGGGCAGAGGGAAUUUCCGGUGGAGCGGUGAAAGUGCGUGAGAGAUCGGAAAGAACACCAACGGCGAAAGCAACUCUGCUGGGCCGACACUGACACUGAGAGACGAAAGCUAGGGGAGCGAAUGGG
rnacentral:rRNA from 1 species